GGGGGCGUGGCGAAAUAGGUAACCGCAGCGGAUUGUUAAUCCGCCGUCUCUGGAGACUUGCGGGUUCGAAUCCCGUCGCCCCCG
rnacentral:tRNA from 1 species